AGUGAACGCUGGCGGUAGGCCUAACACAUGCAAGUCGAACGGCAGCACAGGAGAGCUUGCUCUCUGGGUGGCGAGUGGCGGACGGGUGAGGAAUACAUCGGAAUCUACACUGUCGUGGGGGAUAACGUAGGGAAACUUACGCUAAUACCGCAUACGACCUACGGGUGAAAGCAGGGGACCUUCGGGCCUUGCGCGAUUGAAUGAGCCGAUGUCGGAUUAGCUAGUUGGCGGGGUAAAGGCCCACCAAGGCGACGAUCCGUAGCUGGUCUGAGAGGAUGAUCAGCCACACUGGAACUGAGACACAGUCCAGACUCCUACGGGAGGCAGCAGUGGGGAAUAUUGGACAAUGGGCGCAAGCCUGAUCCAGCCAUACCGCGUGGGUGAAGAAGGCCUUCGGGUUGUAAAGCCCUUUUGUUGGGAAAGAAAUCCAGCUGGCUAAUACCCGGUUGGGAUGACGGUACCCAAAGAAUAAGCACCGGCUAACUUCGUGCCAGCAGCCGCGGUAA
rnacentral:rRNA from 1 species